AGGACGAACGCUGGCGGCGUGCUUAACACAUGCAAGUCGAGCGGUAAGGCCUUUCGGGGUACACGAGCGGCGAACGGGUGAGUAACACGUGGGUGAUCUGCCCUGCACUCUGGGAUAAGCCUGGGAAACUGGGUCUAAUACCGGAUAUGACCUGCUCUCGCAUGGGGGUGGGUGGAAAGAUUUAUCGGUGCAGGAUGGGGCCCGCGGCCUAUCAGCUUGUUGGUGGGGUAAUGGCCUACCAAGGCGACGACGGGUAGCCGACCUGAGAGGGUGACCGGCCACACUGGGACUGAGACACGGCCCAGACUCCUACGGGAGGCAGCAGUGGGAAUAUUGCACAAUGGGCAAAGCCUGAUGCAGCGACGCCGCGUGAGGAUGAAGGCCUUCGGGUUGUAAACCUCUUUCAGCGAGGACGAAGCGCGAAGUGACGGUACCUGACAGAAGAAGCACCGGCUACUACGUCGCACGCAGCCGAC
rnacentral:rRNA from 1 species